AAACGUACGCUGGCGGCACGCCUAACACAUGCAAGUCGAACGAAGUAGCAAUACUUAGUGGCAGACGGGUGAGUAACAUGUAGGUAUCUGCCCUUUGGCCUGGAAUAAACACGAGGAAACUUGUGCUAAUACCGGAUAAGUCUUUACGGAGAAAGCUUUAUGCACCAUUGGAUGAGCCUGCACUUGAUUAGUUUGUUGGUGGGGUAAUGGCCUACCAAGACUGUGAUCAAUAGCUGAUUUGAGAGGAUGAUCAGCCACAUUGGGACUGAGACACGGCCCAAACUCCUACGGGAGGCAGCAGUGGGGAAUCUUGCACAAUGGAGGAAACUCUGAUGCAGCGAUGCCGCGUGAGUGAAGAAGGCCCUUGGGUUGUAAAGCUCUUUCGUCGGGGAAGAAAAUGACUGUACCCGAAUAAGAAGGUCCGGCUAACUUCGUGCCAGCAGCCGCGGUAAUACGAAGGGACCUAGCGUAGUUCGGAAUUACUGGGCUUAAAGAGUUUGUAGGUGGUUGAAAAAGUUAGUGGUGAAAUCCCAGAGCUUAACUCUGGAACUUCCAUUAAAACUUUUCAGCUAGAGUAUGAUAGAGGAAAGCAGAAUUUCUAGUGUAGAGGUGAAAUUGGUAGAUAUUAGAAAGAAUACCAAUUGCGAAGGCAUCUUUCUGGAUCAU
rnacentral:rRNA from 1 species